rnacentral:sRNA from 1 species
AAAGAGCGCUUGUGGGUGUCACCUCAAGGUGUGGGUGGUACUGGAAGGGAAGGGAAGGGUUGGUUGUGGCAUGGUGACCUAGAAGAGGUGAGACUCUGUGGGUGGCUUUCUUUGCGCAGAUGUAUCAACCUCCGCCUGCCUGAAGGCUGUGACAAUCCUUGGGUAUGGCAAUAUUGGUACCUUACUUAGCCCGAGUUCUACCCCAUCACAUCUCUUUGGGUAAAAUACGCCACAAUUUCUCAAGGAAUUCUGUACUGACCUGCCAUAUACGUGAGAAUACCUGAAAGAGUUGUCGGGCUCAGUGAUCUCUCCUGUCCCCAUCCACGUCUUGAAGCAUCUUCCACAGGGGCCCUGGUGCCUGGAAAUCAUCACCAGAAGCAACUUGAGGAGGAAAAGAGUUGAUUUCAGCGGAAGCUCAAGGCAGUAACCUGAAAACGAGAACCAUGGAAGGAAGAUCCGGUGGAGAGAGGCUGCUCAUUGGCUUGUUUUCGGGCACACGUUCAGCUUCCUUUCUUGUACAGCGCCGUUCCACCUGCCUAGGCAUGAUGUAGCCCACAGUCUACUUAGAACUUCCUUCAUCAAUCAGCAAUGAAGAAAAUGCCCACCCUCUACUCCGAUGUAGGAGAGUCCUCAGCUGAGCCUUUCUCUUCCCAGGUGACUCAGAUGUCAGGAGUGACGGGACACCAGAGGCGGAAGCACCUAUGUCCCCUGGCUACAGCAAAGUUCCCAGACCUAUGAAAACCAUCCAGCCUGCUCUGAGCCACAUGCCUGCAGGUCGCAGAGGCAUGCGGGAAAGUGAGAGGAAGUGGAAACGUGCUACAAGAGGGCUCAAAGCAAUGUGCUCACCACCGGAAAAAAAAAUAAAAAUAAACACACUCAGAAAUAGUGUAACUGAUAUGCAAAGGAGAUCAAAACAAGGUUUAAAAUAUCUUGGCUGAUUUAGAGUUGGUGGGCGUGGUAAGUGAAGUGAGGGUGUAAAUGUGUCAGGGGAGCUGGGUAGCCCUCUGCAGCCUGUCACACUUUGGGAGCCCUGAACCCCAAGGGGACAAUAUGGCAUUUACAAUCUCAAAAACUGAACCAUAGAAGCAAAGAGAAUGGUCAUUCUAGAGGUUAUCGAAGCGAUUUGGUGAGACUGGUAAAAAGAAUGCAGAAUUUCAGUUACACAGAGAAAGUAAAGAAUAUUAUUGCACCUGGUGAGCAGAGUUAAUAUAGGAUAAUAAUAUAAUGUCUUCUUAAAAGAUUGCAAGGAAUUUAUUUUCAGUAUUAUAAAAACGAUAAGGUGAUUCAUACAUUAAUUAGUUUGAUUUAGUCAUUCCAUAAUGUGUAGUGGUAUCAAAACAUCGUGCUGUAUGUCUUUAGUAUGUGGAAUUUAAUUAGUCACUUCAAAGGAUGAAUAAACAUAUAAAGCAAAUGUGGGUGGCAUAAAUUCUUCUGACUAUCUCAGAGGCAGAGAUGGACUCCGGAGCAAGAAACUGGGUGUUCCUGAGCCCCAAACUCCUCCCUCGCAGCCCUCUUGCUCUUCCUGAAGGUUCACCCCAUUUGGAAUCAUGGACAUUUGUUCCAGGGCAGGACAUCAAGGCUCAGACAGGAAAGUGGGGAGGCACCGAGAGUCCACCCAACUAGGCUGAAUUUCAAUGCUCAAGUUCCAGUUUGGAGCAAAUGUUCCUAGGUUAGGGAGUAGGGCUGAAUUAUCUCAGGAAAGACAGACUAGCCAGUCUUGUGAUGAGAAGUCCAUUUUCCUUUAGUGUGUUGCGAAGAAACAAACACACCCACUGUAUUUAUAAAAACAAGAAAUUAGAAAUUGUCUUUUGAGGCUGGCUCCUGGAGUGGGAAACUAAAAGGUUGGUGCUGGUUCUGCUGGUUUUAACCUUCCUAUGCCAAUUUAACCAAACCCAAUAAUAGACCAACCAUUGUGGGCACUUCCAGCAUCAGAAUGGCAUAAGUCAGAAGCAUAGGUGCAAAAGGCAGUGUUUGCUCUCUACAGAUCCGGAAGGCACGCACUGGAGCAGGAUGUGAGACGGAUGCUACAGCAGGUGCCUAACCACCUAUCUUACAAUGUCCUUACAAAGCGCCUCCACCUCUCAUCCUUAGGGCUGGAAUGGCUAAGGCUAAUCACCGGUUUCCAGCUAAAGAAACUGAGGCUCCAUGAAGAAAUGAUCCAAGUUCCUGAAAUGAGAAGCCUAUUCAAGGCUGAUCUUGAGUUGAUAUUGUAAUACGUCAUCACCGUGAGAUGCACAGAAUCAACCCAUUCCUGGCUCACAAAGCCCAGCCUUGGGCAGAGGUGGAAGAGGGCACAUGUCCUGUUUUGCUUCCUGUUCCUAUGAUGAAUACCACGGUUCAGUGCAACUCAGGAAGGGAAAGUGUUUAUUUGGCUUUCUUUUCCCACACUACAGCCAUCGCCUGGAGAAGUCAGGGCAGGAACUCAAGGCAGGACCCUGGGGGCAGAAGCCAUGAAGGAACACUUGCUGAUUGGUGGUUCCCCACAGCUUGGCUGGGUCUGUUUUACUUCCUUUGCUUCUUCCUUUUAUUUUAAUCUCCCCAAAUGACUCAUUUAUUAGAAAGUUGAAUAUAAUAAUAAUAAUA